rnacentral:RNase_P_RNA from 1 species
GAGGAAGGUCGGGGCUCCGCAGAGCAGGGUGCGCGCGAAAUGUGUGUCGAGGUGACUCGCAGGAAAGUGCCACAGAGAACAGACCGCCGAUGGCCGCAAGGCACAGGUAAGGGUGAAACGGUGCGGUAAGAGCGCACCAGCGUGACGGGUAACCGGCACGGCUAGGUAAACCCCACCCGGAGCAAGGUCAAACGUGGGAAAUGGGCGGCUCGCCCGUUCGGGAAACCGGACAUUCCCAAGGUGGACCGCAUAGAUGGAUGGCUACACAUCUCUCGCAAGAGAGAGGACAGAACCCCGCCUAUAGGUCAGCUCACCGU